AAUGAAUUGACAUAGAUAUAGCUAUGCGGAUAUUGAAAGAAUAUUUCUCAAAAAGAGCUGCAUUUUUGUUAUAAAGUGGCCAAAUUCCAAUUUCCGCUACUGAAAAUUAUUUUAGUAUUUUUAUUCGCAAUAAAUUUUCAGCCUAUCAACUGAAAAUUUAUGCAGAUGAAAUGAAACUUAAAUUUGUAGUGUUUUUGUACAUUGUUUUCCUGUUUGAUUAUCAAUAUUCUAUUUCGUAGGAAAUUGUCAUAGCAAGUGAAUUAUCUGAUGUCAAUUCAGUUACAAUUUUCUUGCCUCAGUUUAGUAAACAAGUAUAAAUUGCUUUUAUUUUUUGCUGGGUGUAAAUCCCCAGCCUUGAUGGAGUUUGGUGAACCUGAUAGAUUUUUCCUAGAAAGAGGGGGAAAAAAAGAAAAGACAAUAAAAAGAAAAAAGCCUAAUAACUUUGAUAACCACUACUGAAACGAUGUUUUUCUGCUAGCGUCGUCCACUAUUGUCUCUUUUUCUAGCGUUUACAUUUAUGUCAUUUGUGGAAUGGUCGAGUGACAAUUUUCCUCUCCAUUUGUUGUAUAAUCUGGUGAUAGAUGCCUUGAUUUCUAUAGGUGCACAAUGGUGCCGACUUCUUUGUAUUUUGGCUUUGCUGCAUUAAUAAUCAGGGGACGUAUCUUAUAUCUGCUGCACGUUGCCAUGCAUGAGACUGCCAUUUGCAUGAUGGGACGGUAAUUAGUAACUUCAAUGGUGAAAUUUGAGGAAUAUUUGCUAGUGUUCCAGCUUCUGAAAGGCGUGCCUUGAAAAAUCUUGGAGAAUUUCCUACACCACACUGCAGGAUGGGGGAGCCACGAAUACGGUCAAGCCUUUGUAUGCAUGUUGUAACACCAGCGCAACUAUCAGCGCUUCGCGUAUCAGGAGUUGGUGGUGCAAUGGCUAUAGUCGGUGCUGCUAAGGCGAUUGUAGGUGAACUUCCCAAGAAGGAUCCUCAUUAAUACUAUCAUUUAUGUAGCGUCUAAUAUUGGCAUCCCCCAACGUUCCCUCGUUUGCUGUUUGUUUUUUCCUUCCCCUCUGAUUGGAUUCCUGUUUUCUGUUUUCCUGUCACUUUAGUUCUAACUCUUAUUUCUUUUGUAGUACAAGUGUGUGUAGGUGUGUUAGGAUGGAUGGAGGGGAGCAAACUUAAGUGGAUAGAGGGCUCUGUCUACCAAUUUUCUAUCCGGAUCCGUUAGGUUUGCUUUAA